rnacentral:rRNA from 1 species
GACGAACGCUGGCGGCGCGCUUUACACAUGCAAGUCGAACGGAAAGGCCGGGCUUUGGUGGGGUCCUCGAGUGGCGAACUGGUGAGGAACACGUGGGUAACCUGCCCUUGACUUGGGGAUAACUUCUGGAAAUUGGGGGUAAUACCGAAUAGAAGCGCCUGCUCAAUGGUGGUGUUGGGAAAAUUACGCCGGGUCUGAGGUUGGGGAUGGAUUUGCGUCUUAUUGGCUGGUUGGUGGUGUAGCGGGUUACUAAGGCUAUGAUGGGUAGCCGGCCUGAGGGGGUGACCGGCCACAUUGGGACUGAGAUACGCACCAGACUACUACGGGAGGCAGCAGUGGGGAAUAUUGCACAAUGGGCGGAAGCCUGAUGAAGAAACGCAGCGUGCGGGAUGACGGCCUUCGGGUUGUAAACAGCUUUCGCAUGUGACGAAGCGUGAGUGACGGUAAUGGGUAAAGAAGCACCGGCUAACUACGUG